rnacentral:rRNA from 1 species
UACGUAGGGGCCUAGCGUUGUCCGGAUUUAUUGGGCGUAAAGAGCUCGUAGGCGGUUCGGUAAGUCAGGGGUGAAAUCUCCACGCUCAACGUGGAGGCGCCACCUGAAACUGCCGUGACUAGAGUCCGGUAGGGGAGUGUGGAAUUCCCGGUGUAGCGGUGAAAUGCGCAGAUAUCGGGAGGAACACCAGUGGCGAAGGCGGCGCGCUGGGCCGGAACUGACGCUGAGGAGCGAAAGCGUGGGGAGCGAACAGG